CCCUUAGAUGUUCUGGGCCGCACGCGCGCUACACUGAUGCAUUCAACAAGCCUAGCCUUGACCGAGAGGUCCGGGUAAUCUUUGAAACUGCAUCGUGAUGGGGCUAGAUUAUUGCAAUUAUUAAUCUUCAACGAGGAAUGCCUAGUAAGCGUGAUUCAUCAAAUCGCGUUGAUUACGUCCCUGCCCUUUGUACACACCGCCCGUCGCUCCCACCGAUUGAAUGUGUUGGUGAGGAGCUCGGAUUGGCAGCAGUUGGUGGUUCGCCACCGGCUAUUGCUGAGAAGUCCUCCAAACCGCCCCAUUUAGAGGAAGGAGAAGUCGUAACA
rnacentral:rRNA from 1 species